GUCAUCAAUCAACCAUAGUCGGAGAGUAGUCUUUAUUUUGGUAAAACCAAAUCAAAAUUUUUCAGAUCUCUCAUUUUUCUCUUCCGAUCCAAGUAAUCUCCUCGCUUUGUCCAACACCAGUCUCGAGCGCCGACAAAAUCCUCGAACAAUAUCCCGAUCUGAGUUUCUCUCGCCUCAAGAUCCCACACUCAUUCUGCUACACUUCCAACUCGCUCACUACCAUUCUCAUUCUGAUUCUGAUUCUGGUUUCCAUUGAUGUUAUGAUAUGCUUUUCAAACUCCGAAGCUAGGGUUUCUUUCCGCCAUGGAAUCCUCUCGAACUCCCAGCUGGCGGGAGGGCAUGUCCUCUGAUAACAUUAAGGGCUUGGUUCUUGCUCUUUCCUCCAGUUUCUUUAUUGGUGCUAGCUUCAUUGUUAAAAAAAAGGGCUUGAAGAAAGCUGGGGCUUCCGGAGUCAGAGCAGGAGUUGGCGGUUAUUCUUACUUAUAUGAGCCUCUUUGGUGGGUGGGCAUGAUUACAAUGAUUGUUGGAGAAAUUGCUAAUUUUGCGGCUUAUGCAUUUGCUCCAGCAAUACUGGUCACCCCACUUGGUGCUCUCAGCAUAAUUAUUAGUGCAGCGCUUGCACAUAUUAUAUUGCGGGAGAGGUUGCAUAUUUUUGGAAUUCUUGGCUGCGUUCUUUGUGUAGUGGGUUCCACAGCCAUUGUUCUCCAUGCUCCUCAAGAACGUGAAAUUGAAUCUGUAACUGAAGUAUGGCAAAUGGCCAUGGAACCAGCCUUUCUAUUGUAUGCAGCAUUAGUUAUGACAGCUGUGUUUAUACUUAUAUUCCACUUUAUACCGCAAUAUGGCCAGACUCACAUUAUGGUCUACAUUGGUGUAUGUUCCCUUGUAGGAUCUUUGUCGGUCAUGAGUGUCAAAGCAAUAGGAAUUGCCUUGAAGCUAACGCUAUCAGGCAUGAACCAGCUAAUAUAUCCUCAAACCUGGAUAUUUACUGUCGUUGUGAUUACUUGUGUGCUUACCCAAAUGAAUUAUUUAAACAAGGCUGAAGCAAACCAAGGGGAAGCUAUAAAGCAAAAGAACCAAAACAAACUGCAUGGUCCGAAUUGUCAGUGAUCAAGAGAAAAGGGACCUUAAGUGAUUGAUGACUUCAGCAAAUUCAUCCAUGGAUAAUGGAUUGAAGGGCAUGGACCUUAAAGUGAUUCAUGAGAGUUCUCAGCCAAAUCUCUUUGGUAGCUAUCAUAAAACAUUCCCAAAGAAAUCACCAAGAUCAAUUGAAACAAAACAGUUCAACAGCGGACCUUAAUUUUUGGAAGGUUCAAUAUUGAGGAGAUGACUAUGGUAGUGAUGCACGUUGUGCUACCAAGAUGAAGAAAAUUAGGGUCUCCACUUUUUUCAAUGUAGGUUCAGUUCUUCCGGCUAGUUGUGCUAUUUCAUGGGUUUGGAAUGACGUGGGUUGUUCACAGUAAUAUGAAGGGAUUGGUGCAGGGUUGGUGUCUCUGAUGUUCUGGUUCAAGGAAUUCUGUCUCGUUUGAUCUAUUCAUUGCACUUGACACGUUUAAUACAGCUGUUGUGUCACCAAUAUACUACGUUAUGUUCACUUCGUUUACCAUCUUGGCGAGUGUGA